UACGGAGGGUGCGAGCGUUAUCCGGAAUUACUGGGUUUAAAGGGUGCGUAGGCGGCCAUGUAAGUCAGGCGUGAAAGUUUGCGGCUCAACCGUAAAAUUGCUUUUGAUACUGCAUGGCUGGAAUCAGGAUGAGGUCAGCGGAAUGUGGCAUGUAGCGGUGAAAUGCAUAGAUAUGCCAUAGAACACCAAUUGCGAAGGCAGCUGGCUAGACCUGUAUUGACGCUGAGGCACGAAAGCGUGGGGAGCGAACAGG
rnacentral:rRNA from 1 species